rnacentral:rRNA from 1 species
UACGUAGGGGGCAAGCGUUGUCCGGAAUCAUUGGGCGUAAAGAGCGCGUAGGCGGCCCAGUAAGUCCGCUCUGAAAGUCAGGGGCUCAACCCCUGGAUGCGGGUGGAUACUGCUGGGCUAGAGUCCGGAAGAGGCGAGUGGAAUUCCUGGUGUAGCGGUGAAAUGCGCAGAUAUCAGGAGGAACACCAAUGGCGAAGGCAGCUCGCUGGGACGGUACUGACGCUGAGACACGAAAGCCAGGGGAGCAAACGGG